rnacentral:rRNA from 1 species
AGGACGAACGCUGGCGGCGUGCUUAACACAUGCAAGUCGAGCGGAAAGGCCCUUCGGGGUACUCGAGCGGCGAACGGGUGAGUAACACGUGAGUAAUCUGCCCCUAGCUCUGGGAUAGCUCCGGGAAACCGGGAUUAAUACCGGAUAUGACCACUUUAGACAUCUGCUGUGGUGGAAAGAAUUUCGGCUAGGGAUGAGCUCGCGGCCUAUCAGCUUGUUGGUGGGGUAACGGCCUACCAAGGCGACGACGGGUAGCCGGCCUGAGAGGGCGACCGGCCACACUGGGACUGAGACACGGCCCAGACUCCUACGGGAGGCAGCAGUGGGGAAUAUUGCGCAAUGGGCGAAAGCCUGACGCAGCGACGCCGCGUGGGGGAUGAAGCUUCUCGGAGUGUAAACCCCUUUCGAUCCGGAAGAAUGCCCGCAAGGGUAUGACGGUACGGGUAUAAGAAGCCCCGGCUAACUACGUGCCAGCAGCCGC